GACGAACACUGGCGGCGUGCUUAACACAUGCAAGUCGAACGGAGCGAAUGAAAGCUUGCUUUUAUGAGCUUAGUGGCAAACGGGUGAGUAACACGUAGACAACCUGCCGAUCAGAUGGGGACAACAUUCCGAAAGGAAUGCUAAUACCGAAUGAGGUGUAGGGGAGGCAUCUCCCCUACAUGAAAGAUGGCCUCUAUAUAUAAGCUAUCACUGAUCGAUGGGUCUGCGUCUGAUUAGCUAGUAGGUAAGGUAACGGCUUACCUAGGCGACGAUCAGUAGCCGGUCUGAGAGGAUGAACGGCCACAUUGGGACUGAGACACGGCCCAGACUCCUACGGGAGGCAGCAGUGGGGAAUCUUCCGCAAUGGGCGCAAGCCUGACGGAGCAACGCCGCGUGAGUGAAGAAGGUCUUCGGAUCGUAAAGCUCUGUUGAAGGGGACGAACGUGCAUAACAUGAAUAAGGUUAUGUAAUGACGGUACCUUGA
rnacentral:rRNA from 1 species